UUCAGUGGUCUGCUGAAUAAAGAGGUGCCUUUGUACUGCAGUCACCUCCAAUGCCUGGCUUUGGCCCAUUGGUGUGCAUGCAACUCCUGCCAGCCUCUCCCACCACCUCCUUCCCCUGGGUUUUUAGGAACCUGAGUGGGAUCUUGAUGCAAAGGGGAACUGAGCAACUCAUUAAAGAAGAAAUAUUCUGUACUCUGACAUCCUUAUGCACAUCCCACUUGUAAGAAACCACUGCAAUGUAAACGAUGAGGAAUUUGCAAUUCAGCCCAUCUAGACCCAACAUCAGCAUCUCUUCCUAUUGCACA